CCGAGUUAUACAACUCCCAAACCCCUGUGAACCUACCUAUAACGUUGCUUCGGCGGGAACAGACGGCCCCGUGAAACGGGCCGCCCCCGCCGGGGACCCCCUAACCUAUGUUUCUAUAAUGUUUUUCUGAGUAAACCCAAAAUAAAUCA
rnacentral:misc_RNA from 1 species